AAACUUACUUGGCCCCAGGUGGAGGCUGGCCUUUGCACUUCGGCAUGUUGAAACCUGCGACGAUCCCUAAUCGGGCUAGCUCGGACGCGUAGUUUUUGCUAGUGGGGAGGUCUUUGGACCAUUCCUU
rnacentral:snRNA from 1 species